rnacentral:rRNA from 1 species
AAUCUCGGCAACAGAUAUCUCGACUCUUGUUAUGAUGAAGAACGUAGAGAAAUGCGAUACUUAGUCUGAAUUGCAGAAUCUCGUGAAUCAUCGAGUUUUUGAAUACAAUUUGUGCCCAAGGCCUUGGUCGAGGGCACGUCUGUUUGGGCGUCGCAUCCCAUUCAAACGUGAUCCCUGCAAUAUGCUAGGGAGCAGUGGAGUUGGUCGUCCGUGCCCAAUGCAGUACGGUUGGAUAAAUACCUUAAGUGAUGUUUCGUGGCGUGCGUCGGCGAGCGGUGAUCUUGUCCCCUUGGAUGGGCAGUCGACGUUAGCUGAUGCGGGAUUUGUGUGCGUCUUUCGAACUUGCUUUUCUCUCUAUUGUCCUCCCAUCGGGUAGGGCGGAUUUAGCUCCAACUUUGUGACCUUAGCUCAGGCGAGAACACCUAUUGAGUUUAAGCAUAUAAUUAAGUGGAGGAAAAGAAACUUACAAGGAUUCCCCUAGUAGCAACGAGCAAACCAGGAAGAGCCCGACAUGAAAAUUGAGCGGUAGCGUCACAUGAAUUGUAAUAUGUAGAAGCAUCCUCAGUGGUGAACCUGGGCCAAGUCCCUUGGAAGGGGGUGCUUGAGAGGGUGACAGCCUCGUCGGCCCGGGACCCUGCCAUACCACGAGGCGUUGUCGACGAGUUGGGUUGUUCGGGAAUGCAACCCUAAUUGGGUGGUAAAUUCUGUACAAAGCUAAAUACAGGCGAGAGAGAAAUAGCAAACAAGUACGACGAGGGAAAGAUGAAAAGGACUUUGAAAAGAGAGUUAAAGAGUGCUUAAAAUUGCCAUGAGGGAAGUGGAUGGAGGCUGUCGAUGUGUCUUGAUCAUAUGUGGAACGACUCAGGCUGGUCCACCGCUCGACUUGAGGUGAAAUCCAACACGGGCUGCUGCAUCGUCACAAGCGCGGGUGGAUUGCUGCCUGUCAGUUUGCUGCUACGGUGGUCGAGGAACGAAGUGUGUGCCCUUGUGGCGAUCCGUGUGCACCUGCGCACUCAUGGUGUUGGUGGGCGGGCUUUCCAUUCAACCCGUCUUGAAACAUGGACCAAGGAGUCUAGCAUGUGUGUGAGUCGGUGGGUUUGAAAACCUACGAGGCGCAAGGAGGUUGACGGGUGAGAUCCCCUCUCUGGGGGGGCUGCAUCAUCAACCGACCUUGAGCUUAUGUGAAGGGUUCAAGUGCGAGCGCACCUGUUGGGACCCGAAAGAUGGUGAACUAUGCCUGAGCAGGGCGAAGCCAAAGGAAACUCUAGUGGAGGCUCAUAGCGAUACUGACGUGCAAAUCAUUUGUCUGACUUGGGUAUAGGGGCGAAAGACUAAUCAAACCAUCUAGUAGCUGGUUUCCUCCAAAGUUUCCCUCAAGAUAGUUGGAGCUCACACGCGAGUUUUAUCGGGUAAAGUAAAUGAUUAGAGGCAUCGGGGUGUAAUUCCCUUGACCUAUUCUCAAACUUUAAAUAGGUAAGAGGGUGCGGCUUCUCCAUUGAGCCGCGCCGUGGAAUCAAGAGCUCCAAGUGGGCCAUCUUUGGUAAGCAGAACUGGCGAUGCGCGAUGACUCGAAAGUCGAGUUAUGGUGUCGGAUUGUGCGCUAACCUAGAUCCCACAAAGGGUGUUGGUUUAUUAAGAUAGCAAGAUGGUGGUCAUGGAAGUCGAAAUCUGCUAAGGAGUGUGUAAAAACUCACUUUCAGAAUCAACUAGCCCCAAAAAUAGAUGGCACUGAAGUGCGCAACAUAUACUCGACCGUCGGAGCAAUUGCCUGGCUCCGAUGAGUAGGAGGACGCGGGGGUCAUUGAGAAACCUCAUGCAUGAGCUUGGGUGGGCCUAGGGGUCUGCGCCCUCAACUCGUGGGCUGUCGAUAGUCUGCUCGAGCUGCUCUCGUGGCGAGGGCGGGAAGUCGCGUGCUGAUUGGGCUAUGGGCAUAGAAUGCCCCCUGUCGGGGGCUUUUCCCUAGGCAUCAAAUAGUUGACUCAGAACUAGUACAGACAAGGGGAAUCCAACUGUUUAAUUAAAACAAAGCAUUGUGAUGGUCCCUGCGGAUGCUGACGCAAUGUCAUUUCUGCCCAGUGCUCUGAAUGUCAAAGUGAAGAAAUUCAACCAAGCGCGGGUAAACAGUAGGAGUAACUAUGACUCUCUUAAGGUAGCCAAAUGCCUUGUCAUCUAAUUAGUGACACACAUGAAUGGAUUAACGAGAUUCCCAUUGUCCCUAUCUACUAUCUAGUGAAACCACAACCAAGGGAAUGGGCUUGGCAGAAUCAGUGGGGAAAGAAGACCCUGUUGAGCUUGACUCUAGUCUGACUUUGUGAAAUGACUUGAGAGGUGUAGAAUAAGUGGGAGCCGUUUUCGGUGCAAGUGAAAUACCACUACUUUUAACAUUAUUUUACUUAUUCCGUGGGGCGAAGAUGGGGCACUACCCCUGUUUUUGGCCUUAAGGCAUGUUUCGACCGGUCAAUCCGGGCGGAAGACAUUGUCAGGUGGGAGUUUGGCUGGGGUGGAACAUCUGUUAAAAGAUAAUGCAAGUGUCCUAAGAUGAGCUCAACGAGAACAAAAAUAUUGUGCGGAACAAAAGGGUAAAAGCUCAUUUGAUUUUGAUUUUCAGUAAGAAUACAAAUCGUGAAAGCGUGGCCUGUCGAUCCUUAGAUUUUUGGAAUUUGAAGCUAGAGGUGUCAGAAAAGUUACCACAGGGAUAACUGGCUUGUGGCAGCCAAGCAUUCAUAGCGAUGUUGCUUUUUGAUCCUUCGAUGUCGGCUCUUCCUAUCAUUGUGAAGCAAAAUUCACCAAGUGUUGGAUUGUUCGCCCAUCAAUAGGGAACGUGAGCUGGGUUUAGACCAUCAUGAGACAUGUUAGUUUUACCCUAUUGAUGAACUGCACUGCAAUAGUAAUUCAACUUAGUACGAGAGGAACCAUUGAUUCACACAAUCGCGCUUGGUUGAAAAGCCAGUGGCGCAAAGCUACCAUUUGUCGGAUUAUGACUGAAUGCCUCUAAGUCAGAAUCCAUGCUAGAAGCGGUGCAUGUCACUCUUCGACUGUAUCUCGACCCGUAGUAGGGGCAUCGCUUUGUCGCCCCCAGGGGCCCGUGUCAUUUGCAAACCGCGACCGUGAAGCAUCUCGGUCGGGGAAGCUUUGAAGUUCAAUUCCAAACGGUCUUUGAGAAGAAUCCUUUGUAGACGACUUAAAUACGUGACGGGGUAUUGUAAGUGGCAGAGUGGCCUUGCUACCACGAUCCACUGAGAUUCAUCCCUUGGUCGCCU